UAGGCGGAUGUUCGCUGGUUUGGACGCUUAGCUGUUAACUAAAUAUUUGUGGGAUCGAGGCCCGCUCGCCUAG
rnacentral:tRNA from 1 species